rnacentral:rRNA from 1 species
AGUGAACGCUGGCGGUAGGCCUAACACAUGCAAGUCGAACGGCAGCACAGUAAGAGCUUGCUCUUACAGGUGGCGAGUGGCGGACGGGUGAGGAAUACAUCGGAAUCUACUUUUUCGUGGGGGAUAACGUAGGGAAACUUACGCUAAUACCGCAUACGACCUACGGGUGAAAGCAGGGGAUCUUCGGGCCUUGCGCGAUUGAAUGAGCCGAUGUCGGAUUAGCUAGUUGGCGGGGUAAAGGCCCACCAAGGCGACGAUCCGUAGCUGGUCUGAGAGGAUGAUCAGCCACACUGGAACUGAGACACGGUCCAGACUCCUACGGGAGGCAGCAGUGGGGAAUAUUGGACAAUGGGCGCAAGCCUGAUCCAGCCAUACCGCGUGGGUGAAGAAGGCCUUCGGGUUGUAAAGCCCUUUUGUUGGGAAAGAAAAGCAGCAGGUUAAUACCCCGCUGUUCUGACGGUACCCAAAGAAUAAGCACCGGCUAACUUCGUG